UACGGAGGGUGCAAGCGUUAUCCGGAUUCACUGGGUUUAAAGGGUGCGUAGGUGGGUUGGUAAGUCAGUGGUGAAAUCCCCGAGCUUAACUUGGGAACUGCCAUUGAUACUAUCAGUCUUGAAUACCGUGGAGGUCGGCGGAAUAUGUCAUGUAGCGGUGAAAUGCUUAGAUAUCGUCAAGAACACCAAUAGUGAAGACAGCUUACUGGGCUUAAACUGACGCUGAGGCACGAAAGUGUGGGGAUCAAACAGG
rnacentral:rRNA from 1 species